UCUUUUGUUUUCUCGUUCAUUUCUUCUCUUUCCUGCUCCCCUAUUGGCGCUUAGGGUUUCCCAGGGCUGAUGCUCGCCGCCGACACGCCUAGGGUUCCCCAAGGCCGAUGCUCGUUGCCGACCCUUCGGUACCCACCAUGGAGGCGGCCCUGGGAGGAGGGCAGUGAGCAAGUCGCCCCUAGGGCCGAUUUUCGCCGCCGAGAAGGAUUAGUGGCGGCGGAUCCAGGGAGGCGCCCUAGAAUGAGGGCGGGCAGCGGGUCACCCCCAGAGCCAAUGCUUGCCGCCGAGAAGAAUUCGUGGCGGCGGAUCCAGGGAGGCGCCUUGGGAGGAGGGCGGGCAGCGGGUCGCCCCCAGGGCCAAUGCGCGCCGGGCUUGCGGUUCGCGCCCCCACUCGGCAGCGGGUCACCACUAGGCAGGCGGCUCGUCCUUUCGUUUACCGGCAUUGGGGGCGAAGGGGCGGCGCCUCGCAGUGAUGGCUCCACCCGCCGGCCACCGGCACUAUUGCGAGCCGAGGGGUGGUCAUGCCGCUGGCCGCGGUCGCCCGUCGCCUCCCACUACUGGCCAUGGGUCAACGCCCGGAUGGCCACUAGUGACUGGCCCACGGUAGCAGCACGACAAGGGCAAGGAGCAGGGGGCACCCUGCAUCGCAUCCCAAUUCGGCAUCUCGGCAAUGGAUCCCCGUUGACCAAUUGGAAGCUAUAAAAAUUCUCGAUGAUUAGAUGAACUGUGACAUUAUAUAGAUUGCUGAACUUGUAAGGAAUAAGUUUUGCUAGGUGGUUGAUAUAGUUGUGCAGCCCUUUCCUUUGAGACCAUUGAAAUCAUCAACAGUUGAGGAAACUUUUUUUUUUUGCUAGUAACUAUUAUAUGUAGAUUAGUCACCUACCAGUUGCUGCAGUUCAGGACGAUGGCUGCUGGGACCCAAUGAGUCAAGUACCUGUAUGACACCCUUGCGUCCAUUGACCAUCCGCCAGAUACCAAUGUGUGUUCUUAACAUUAUUUGGAAAGAAGACCUAAAAAAUUGGAAAAGACUAAGGCGCAUAAAAUAUUUACCUUCUGAGGUCGUAUACGUCGGCAGUGGUGCUUCAGGGAUCUCUAUAACCUCGGCAUCUUCUACCUCCUUGUUGCCCUUGUUAGUUUUCUUACGUUUUGAGGUUGUAUUGUACUCAAAAUUGGCAUCUGUAUGUUGGAUGUUUUUUUUUCCUUUUUGAAGUUCUUGCCUGCAGAUUUGGUUGUACAGAUCAUCCUGUAUGUUUUGGGCAGGUGGGUCUUUCUUAUCGUCUUCUUGUACAUCGGUCGAGGAUGGUUCUAUUUCCCUUGAUUUCUACAAUUCAUGUUGAAGUGCCUCAAAUUUUCACGGACCUAGAAGAUUACUCAUGGUACAUGCUUUCGUGGAGGUUCCUUUAUUUCAUCGCCUUGGGCUGGCGGGCCGAGUAUAUGAUGAACAUCCUUCAUACUUAACUUGAUUCUCUUUCCAUUUAUGAUGAACUCUUCAGUGUCGAUGUCGAAACUGUCGGCAAUGUCUUUGCAUAGAUCUCUUCUAAUCUCUAGUUCUUUCAACUUUAGUAAAGAACCAAACUUGCUUCAUUAACGACACCAUUCUGAUCUGGACUAGUAGUUUCUGAGAGCAUUUACAUGUUCCCUGCAUUAGAAAAGGAUAUUGCGUGCUGUCAGAAACUGAGUUUAGCUUAUGUAUUGUUGUUGACUUCACAAAAAAUUAAAUUCCUGACAUGGUCUAGUAAUAUAUAUUUGUGGUAAGAUGGUAUGCAA